rnacentral:rRNA from 1 species
UAACACGUAGGUAACCUGCCCAUGUGCCCGGGAUAACUUCUGGAAACGGAUGCUAAAACCGGAUAGGUAGCAGACAAGCAUUUGACUGCUAUUAAAGUGGCCUUGGCCAUGAACAUGGAUGGACCUGCGGUGCAUUAGCUAGUUGGUGAGGUAACGGCCCACCAAGGCGACGAUGCAUAGCCGGCCUGAGAGGGCGGACGGCCACAUUGGGACUGAGACACGGCCCAAACUCCUACGGGAGGCAGCAGUAGGGAAUUUUCGUCAAUGGGGGGAACCCUGAACGAGCAAUGCCGCGUGAGUGAGGAAGGUCUUCGGAUCGUAAAGCUCUGUUGUAAGAGAAAAACGGCACUCAUAGGGAAUGAUGAGUGAGUGAUGGUAUCUUACCAGAAAGUCACGGCUAACUACGUGCCAGCAGCCGCGGUAAUACGUAGGUGGCGAGCGUUAUCCGGAAUGAUUGGGCGUAAAGGGUGCGUAGGUGGCAGAUCAAGUCUGGAGUAAAAGGUAUGGGCUCAACCCGUACUGGCUCUGGAAACUGAUCAGCUAGAGAACAGAAGAGGACGGCGGAACUCCAUGUGUAGCGGUAAAAUGCGUAGAUAUAUGGAAGAACACCGGUGGCGAAGGCGGCCGUCUGGUCUGGAUUCUGACACUGAAGCACGAAAGCGUGGGGAGCAAAUAGGAUUAGAUACCCUAGUAGUCCACGCCGUAAACGAUGAGAACUAGGUGU